rnacentral:rRNA from 1 species
UGGGGAAUUUUGGACAAUGGGCGAAAGCCUGAUCCAGCAAUGCCGCGUGUGUGAAGAAGGCCUUCGGGUUGUAAAGCACUUUUGUCCGGGAAAGAAAUCCUUGGCUCUAAUACAGUCGGGGGAUGACGGUACCGGAAGAAUAAGCACCGGCUAACUACGUGCCAGCAGCCGCGGUAAUACGUAGGGUGCAAGCGUUAAUCGGAAUUACUGGGCGUAAAGCGUGCGCAGGCGGUUUGCUAAGACCGAUGUGAAAUCCCCGGGCUCAACCUGGGAACUGCAUUGGUGACUGGCAGGCUAGAGUAUGGCAGAGGGGGGUAGAAUUCCACGUGUAGCAGUGAAAUGCGUAGAGAUGUGGAGGAAUACCGAUGGCGAAGGCAGCCCCCUGGGCCAAUACUGACGCUCAUGCACGAAAGCGUGGGGAGCAAACAGGAUUAGAUACCCUGGUAGUCCACGCCCUAAACGAUGUCAACUAGUUGUUGGGGAUUCAUUUCCUUAGUAACGUAGCUAACGCGUGAAGUUGACCGCCUGGGGAGUACGGUCGCAAGAUU